rnacentral:rRNA from 1 species
GACGAACGCUGGCGGCGUGCUUAACACAUGCAAGUCGAACGGACAGGCCCUGCUUUUGUGGGGUGCUCGAGUGGCGAACGGGUGAGUAACACGUGAGUAACCUGCCCUUGACUUUGGGAUAACUUCAGGAAACUGGGGCUAAUACCGGAUAGGAUCUCCUGCUGCAUGGUGGGGGUUGGAAAGUUUCGGCGGUUGGGGAUGGACUCGCGGCUUAUCCGCUUGUUUGUGGGGUAGUGGCUUACCAAGGCUUUGACGGGUAGCCGGCCUGAGAGGGUUACCGGGCACAUUGGGACUGAGAGACGGCCCAGACUCGUACGGGAGGCAGCAGUGGGGAAUAUUGCACAAUGGGCGGAAGCCUGAUGGAGCAACGCCGCGUGCGGGAUGACGGCCUUCGGGUGGUAAACAGCUUUCGCCUGUGACGAAGAGUGAGUGACGGUAAUGGGUAAAGAAGCACCGGCUAACUACGUG